AAUCCACUCUCCCCUCUCUGAUACUCUCUCCUCUAGAUCUCCCUUCAUUCUCUACCUCCCGUCUCUCUGUAAACCUCGAAGGUGAAUCGUAAUUGAUCUGCGAGGUCUCCUUCUUUUUCUUUGUUUUCUCAGAUGUAGCACAUUCCAAACUGGGGAUUUAACCAAACCCGAUAGAGCCAUU